CAGAAAAUAGUUUAUAAAAAUAUUAAUUUUGGAGAUUAAAGAUAAAGAGUUUCUUUUUUUCUGA
rnacentral:tRNA from 1 species